rnacentral:tRNA from 1 species
GCGCAGGUAGCCAAGCGGCUAAGUUGUAAGCGACCGCCUGCAGAGCGGUUAUUCGGGGGUUCGAAUCCCUCCCUGCGCU